CCUCCCCCCCCCCGGAAAAUUUUCCCACAAGACGACAACCUCCUCGACUUCUCCAGCACGCCCUCUUGCAUAGCCACCGCUCCUCUGGCUUUCCUGCUUCCGUGCGCCGUCUUUAACCUCGUGGGUUUGCGGUACUGGCGGCGGCAGAUGGGGGCGGCGGCUGGAUCAGGACUGUGAGGGCAGCAGAUUAAAGGGAGAGAAAGAAGCCCCGGUCUAGUCACCAGGUGGCAAUGGAGAGCAUGCUGGUGAACUUUCAACCUCAUCUGCUUUCGUGUUGAAGAUAUAUAGACAAAAGAGCAACACAUUGAGUAGUUACUUUAAAGUGAUGACUUUGUAAGUACAAUAUUUUAUAGUUCUAUAUAUGCAAGAGACGUUCAUGUUUUCUUAUAUGUUUGUACCUUAAUAGUUUUCUCACUUCUAUUUUAUUUUUCUCUCAAGACAAAAGGGCUCGGAACACGUGGCUAUUCCUUCCAUGUGGCACUAUUAAAAUAUGAAACAUCGUUAUUUUUGUA